GCUUUUGUGAAGCUGCAAUAGUUGUAAAAGGCAAGAAAAAGAAAAGUUUUAAAGCAUAUUCAGAGAACAAGGGAAACAGCUGAAGAGUGUUUGCUUCACGAAUACAUGAGAAUAACACAGUCCUUUAUAUGACUAUUGAAUCCCUUAAAUUCAAUGGGACUUACUCCCAGGUAAGUGGAUAUAGGACUCAAGCCUUACUUCUGAUGGUUAUAUCCUGGUUUUCUUGGGUUCUCUGGUCAAGUAUAACAAACACUAGCAUGGAGUUUAGAACAAAGACACCCUAGAAUCUAUAUUGCUUUUCCCACCUCCUCACUGAGAUUGAGAGAAUCAAAUAUUUUAUGGUGUGUUUUUUUUACAACAGCAACAACACCUUUUCUCUUAUAAUGCCCAAUAGUGAGUAUGGGUAAGAUUCUUAUCCUACAAUAAUUACCAGUGAAAGAAGACUGGCAGAUGAAAUUGAUGGAUUAUGCUGAGCUAGCGAAACUAACAGGGAAAAUUCAGAACCAGCAAGAUCGGAAUUUUCUGAAAGAUAUUUGAAAGAUAAUUGUAAACAAUUGACUUGCCUAGUAGGGUUGCAGGAAGUUUUGUAGGUUAACACUAUAAAUUAUUGCAAAGAAUAAUUUUUAUUUUGUUUAUUUAUGAUAGGGAUAUAACAGUAAUAAUUAAAAUAACAAAUGCAAUAAUAGAGAGUAAGUUAGAAAACCACUAGUCGAGGAAGAGGGAAGUCUCAGGCUGUGAUAGCCAGGAGUUGAUUAUGUUAUACGAAAGUUGGAUGUUGUGUUCUAAACCAUGUGUAAAAACCAAUAAAAAUCAUUAUAUAUAUAUAUUUAUAUAUAUAAAAGAUUCUUAUCCUACAUAACUUGUUUCAUUUCAGGUUUUCCAGGUACCUCUGCCCCCUGGUGGUCCAGUUAUGUUAUUGUCCACAUAGGAGAGUCAGGGAAGACAAGCAGAGGACUCCUCUCAAUUUUAAUCAGCAAAGAAAGUUAAAAUGAAGUAAAAGUUACAAGGGAUCCAAGAGGCAAGUAACAAAAGGUACUAAGAUAUCGAACACUACAUUUCUUUUUAUUGUAUUUCAAGGCUGCCUUAUCAAUCAAAAUGCUUUUAGAAAAGGUUGGUGUCAAAUUCAUGUAAAACAACUUUUGACAGGUACAUUUUUCAUACAUUAAUGUGACAUCCUAUUCAUGCACAGUCAGGUUUGCCAGGUCAUUAUUGGCAAAGUCUAUUAUCUAUGUCUUUGUAUUCUGCAUUUAAUCUAUCCAUGAACAAAUGGAUCAUCAAGAAGGUAUAUGAGAAUGGUAAUUAUUUCUGACACUGGUGCUUCUGUAAGGCACCCAUGGUUCUGACUUUACUGCCCAUUUAUUUUACUUAAAACAGGCACAAACAUUUAUUCCUAAACUGGGUUGAAAUGUUUCAGGAUAUCCAGUAUAUUUUUGUGUUCCCGUAUGCUACCAAGUAAAUGCUUUUAAAGCACAGAGAGAAGUGAAACAAGGUUGCAUUCUGGCUCACAAUCUUUUAGAGUUUUAUAUUAAUGAUUUGGUGUCAUAUUUAGCCAUUGCAAAUGCCUGACCUCCAGUAAUUAGCAAGAGAACAAUCUCAAUCUUGAUUCAUGCAUAUGAUUUAGUGCUCCUCUCUUUUCUGACUGGGCCUCAAACAUCUCUCGGACGUAUUCGGCACAUACUUUCAACAUGGAAGAUGGAGCAAGUUUUAAAUGCACUAAUUGAUUCCUUUCCUUUAGUGUUUUGAAAUUUUAUCAAUAAAUAUUACAGUAUAGUAUUUAUAGUAAAUUCAUACUAAAUUUGUGAAGUCUUUAAUGUGUCAUAGGAUGCUUUUAUUGUUGUUUUCUGCUAUAGCACAACACUGCUACUCUUCAGGAUAAUAAAAUGAUUGUAAUAAUAAGGAUGGGUGCAGUGGAUUGUAGCCAUAAAUUGCAUGUUGCAGUAAGACUACAAAUCAAAGCUGUGGUUCUUGCACAGCAGGGGGUUGGACCCUUGGGUUACCUUCCAAGUCUACAAUUCUGUGGGGAGGCAGAACCAAGUUGUCAUGCCAUCUCUUGCUGGAUAUCCCUUUUCAUAGUUGUGUCAAUUGUUUUUUUCUUUUUCUUUUAUGUCCUUUGAUUUUUGCCAGAAAGGAAGCCAACACAAUUCAACAAGGAUAUUCUUCCACAUUAAAGGGUGCAGGGGAGGAGAAGAAGAAGAAGAAAAUUCCUAAUAAACUUCGAAUUCAGCUGGCAUCCAUGUAAGGAUGUUGAUGUUCAGGGCCAAACAACUGGAGGCCUGUGCUAAACGAAUCCCUAGAAAGUCCUUAGGGUACAAUCCUGUAGAGGAUUUUAUCUCGGAGUAAACCCAGAUGAAUUUAAAUAGGCUUCCUUCUGAGAAGGCAUGCUGGGGUCUGUGCUAUUAGCAGCAAGUAAGGACUGGUCCAGGGUCAUCUGGAAACCAAUGGCAGCCCCAUCCAGCCAAGCUGGGCCUGCCUUGGGCUCCCAGGGCUGCACCCUUGGGAGGGGGUGCCUGGCAGAGGCGACAGUUUUGCAUUGGGGUAGAGCAUUUUUUACCAGAGCUGUGAAGUCCAGCCUCCCACCCUUCUUAUUUAUUUAUUUGGGCGUCAAUUCUUCUCCCAUUGUUCUGACACCAGAGGACCUUGGAGGGGAGUUGUAGUCACAUUUGUGGAUGGUGCUCAGCAUCUCUGCUUGUACAAACUUCCCAGGUUGAUGCAAAGAGCUAUGAAAGGUCUCUUCACCACCCAGCUAGGUAAAUGUUUUGAGGGUUUUGUGUUUUUUUAGGAGUGAAACAUAACAGUGAAACACUAUUUUCUUGUCUGCCUCAGGCAGCAAAAUGUAUUGGGCCACACUGGCGUAAAGAUGGAAUAUGGCAACAAAAGCACAACGUUGAGACAAUAACAAUAUGUUCACAACUAGUUGGACAGUGGCAGAGGCGACUUUGAAAAUGAGAGGCCAUUUUUAAUACUUAGAAAAAUAAAUGUGAAAACAACCCUGUUCUAGUUAUGAUUAUUCAAUUUUCAUAGACGCUGAACAUAAUAUAUUCAACUUAAAAUAUAUUGAAAAGAAGAGAAGACUCUGUUGAAAGACAGUUAAAAGGAGUUUAGGUUUAAUAUUCUGAAGACUUGAUAUAUGUAAAUGAUAUGGAGAGGAAAAGGACAAUUUUCAAAUUGAUCAUUUUGGCCAGGCAAGAAGACAGGUGAAGGAAAUUAUGUUAUUUAAGUCAUUGCCACAAAAGCUUAAGAACCUCAAACUGUUCUAAAAUAGCUGGAUAACCUUGGGGAGAAAAGCCUAAUGUUGCAUAAUUGUAUCUAAACUGAACAGUACUUUCUUGACACUCCAUGAGUUCAUAUUUGUAAAAGAAAAAUAAUAUUGGAAACAAGGAAAACUCUUUUGUGUUCACAGCAUACAUGUUCUUGACACAAAGAAAUCACUUUGGAUUAAGCAUUGUAUACUAAUAUCAGUUUAUAUGUAGCUCUGCUUUAAUACUGUUUGCCCAGGCAGGCACAUUAUGCAACCCAUGAGAGCAGCAAAAUAACCAGACUGUACCAUGGUGAUGGGAUGAAAUCAGGGCAAAUCUGUAUUGACAGCAGCAGCAGGCAGGGCAAGGGUUGGCAUGGCACUGGGUCCCAGGAUCAGUUCAUCAUUCCACAAGCCCCAAGUUGAUGGAAUGGAUCCACUGAGUUUGAAUCGCUCCAAACCUGUACGAUGGGAGCCAGCCAGUUGGCCAGGCUCUAACCCCAAGAUAGGUGGGCAGGAAGCUCUCAAAGCAAAAUGGCUGUAAGAUCCAGGGAAAGCAGCCUUAUAUAAGCUUUCUCCUCUCCUCUUCAGCAAGGACUCAUGGGACAACUUUUUCCUAUGAGCCCAUCACACAGAGAAGAUACUGGACAAAAUCUUGCCCAGUAUUUUGCUGCAGUCUAUGGGCCACAGCACCACCAGGCAAAGAUGUCCCAUGUUUAUUGGGCACGGAACAUGGCUUACCUUAGCUUUUGUGUGGGUGUGGGGUUUUUAAAAAAUGCAAACAGCAUAUUCCCCUUUUCACCCACACCCAGAUUUUCGAUUCAGUGUUGCAAGUGUUGUAUCAUCCUAAUUAUAUAGGAAAGCAGACAACUUCACAGCAGGCUUUUGUAACAAAGAAAACGGAGACCUACCCACACAGCAAGGAAGAGCAUUUCAAUCAGUUGAAAAUGAUGUAUGCUGGACUAUUGCAGAGACUCUGAGCCUGAGCAAGAAGGGCAGGUAUGCAUUUGUAUUCCUCAGUGCUGUUUGCUUAUUCUGUGUAUGGCCCAAUCUAUUACCAAUCUGUGUCUCCCUUGCCUUUGUUCAUUCACAAAUGCAUUCUGCCACAUUUCUGCAUUUUCUUUUUUUAAAAAAUAACAAUACUGGAAUAUUUAGGAAGUGGAAAAGCCAGAGGAGUAACUUCUACUCCCUGCAUUAGUCCAGGUGAUGUGGAUCAGGGCCAUUGAUAUCGACGUUCACAAAGAUUCUAUUUCCUCAAGCAUCUCUGAUCCUGGACUGAAUGAAUGCCCAUUUCCAAAGAUUUUAACCCAUGGACUUUAAAGCUACAUGGGGAUAGCAUCAAGCAGUUUUUAAUUUUUUUAAGCCAACUACAUUAUACUGUAUCUAUCCUAUAUAAAUCAAUCAAGGCCAUGUCCUAUGCAGCCUUGUUCAUUAUAGCAUCAUAUCCCUGGUUCAAUCCAGUUUAGCUGCCUAAUCAACAUUUUCUUCACUUUUUUCUUUUGGUAAAUUACAGCUGGAACACAGGACUUUUUUCAAUAUAUAUUGUUCCAAUGUGUUGAAAAGUCUAUGUUCAUUAGCACAAAGCCAUAGUUUCUAGUAGUAUGGGGGAUAAACCCUUGUUUGUUUUCAUCACAGGCAAUGGGCAUCCACUCUGCUCUUUAUAGCCUGCUCUCUUUAUAGCCUUCUGCAGUCUGAAGUGCUCAAAGUCAAAGGAAAAGCUUUGACUGAGUGGAUUCUGUUGAGAUAAAGAGCACAGCCCUUGUACUAGUGGUGUAUUCACCAGAAUUAUCGUACUUUUCUGUGUAUAAGACAAUGUUUUUUUAACUCUAAAAUAAUCUUCAAAAUCUGGGAUCAUCUUAUACACGGAUAGUAUCUCUCCCCAUUUUCUUCAAUCGGAAUCUCCAAAAAUAGGGGACGUCUUAUACAUGGGGGUGUCUUAUAGAUGACAAAAUACGGUAGCUCUUGAUCCAUCUUUAACAGGACAAAAUAAGAUGAAAUGCUCAUCACAUAUUUUUGACAAACACCUUUGUUCCAUGUAGAUAUUCACUGCAUAUAUGCAGGUUCAGCAGGUCUGUGACCACGUAUUCAAUAAUUGUUUGAUUGUCUAUAUUUGAUGUGUGUGUGAGAGAGAUCAAGACUUAGUCUGUUCUAUACAUUCAGUCUCCACACAUCGUUCAAAUGUGUGCACAGUAGUCUGUGCUUGUAGGCAGGAACUACAAGGAGUAAAUGGAGUGCCCCACAUAUAGACAAGUCUUGUUUAUUCAUGUAAGCCUCUCUGGUCAUUCAAAACAAUGCACAGAAGUUAGGAGUAUAGAGAGGAUGCCCAGAAGUAUGAUCCCAACUCUCCUAUAUUCAUAGAGAUGUGCAAUGGUGGUAACAGUCCUAUGUCAAGCUGUUAAUAGGGUAUUAAAUGUGAGGUGUUCUUGGAAGGCAUGAUUUAUUGAUUAGAGUCACAUACGUAGAGUCAUCCAUCUCUUCAAUUAAAUGAAUGUGUGCAAAGUGACUCAUUUUAUUGGAGAUUAGUCACUCAGAAACAUUUCCUGGAAAUUUUUAAGAAGGUUUGCUGGUGAUAUCUGCUCUGCAGCGCUGGCCAAUCUACUCAGUGCUGCUGUACAACGUAUCAAAUGUCUGUGGAGGUAUUUAAGCACAGUUCCAAUUAUCAGAAAUUAUUAGAACAAUCCUGUACAGAAGGUAAGAAUUACUAAUUCUAUAUUAUGUAGAAAAGGGACAUGCUUAAGGGAACCAAGCAAAUGUUUGAAAUGAAAUUGGAACCAGGAAUUUAUCGGGUGCACAGCUCGUUUUCUUACUCUCUAGACUUUGUUAGCUUUCAACUGCCAUGUUGGUUUCUGUCCAUAUUUCUGUGGCUCAGAAGAACAUAUGACGAACCUCUGCACAGAGGCACCAACCUGUGCCCAAGACUGAGGGGAGCCACCGUGUGUGACACGUGUUGUGCAUCUGAUGUCAAGAGGAGGCCAAGUGUGGAGAGUGGUGUGGCUUCUCUUUCAUGCUCUGGAGGAGACAGCAACUGAAGCCACACUGUGCUUGACUUCAUACUUCACCUCCUCUGCUCCCUCAAUAUUGAGGGGGGCUGGCCCCCUCCCAAGAGAUAUUUGGGGGGAGGGCAAAUAUACCUCAGCCCCAUAGAGUUGGCACCCUUGCUGUUAGGUCAGACCAAUGGCCCACCUAGUCCAGCAUCCUGUUCUGACAGCUGCCAAUCAGAUGCCUAUGGGAAGCCCGCAAGCAGGCUUCCAGCCCAAGUGCACUCUCCCCUCUCCACAAGAGCACUCUUCAUCUCAGGUGAAACCGAAUACCAUAUAAUAAUCAUUUCAAAAACCAUACAGUAUCCCCGUAAAAAUAGAUCUGUGGUCUCUGUGCAAAGGAUAUUGGAAGCUGCUCACAUUGAGAACCAACUUCUUAGUCAUGGGCUGCAAAGUAGACAUCUGAAAGAUUAGCAUGGUAGCAGAAAACAUCAAUGUCAAAACAGUGGAGGAAAAGAAAGAGUACUUUAUGGCAGAUAGUAAUGCUCUGUGGAUCUCUGGUUCAAACAUGUCUAUUGAGUUCUAUCUCAGAUGCCACAGAGGGAUGAGAAUUCAAUUGCCGUAGGCAGGUAUUACGUUGAUUUAUCUUAGCUUUUUGUGUAAUUAAAUGAAAUUACACCCUCCAUAAGGAACUGAUUAUAAUUAAUGAUUAUGGAAUUCUGUAUUUAAUCUGUAUGUCAUUGACUGCAGUUAUGAAUCUUUUGUUCCUGGUAAUUCCUGUCCAUGACACCAAAUUAUUCCUCUUAUGCGGGCUUGGUAUAUAUAAAAGCCAUUUGCAAGUGAAAACUCACUUCAGCAAUUUCAGCGCAAGCCUGCUAUUAUCUUGCUCUUUAAGAGAUUGUGUUUAGCAUGGCAUGAACUAUUGGUUAUUGCAAAAUGGAGGAUUAAAAGCAACAACAGCAGAUGUGCCCAUAUGCCACCAAUCUUUCGUAUUGCUUGUCUGGUGACACUUUCUUUGGGCUUACAAAUCCCAUGAGAAUAAAAUAGCUUUGAAGCUUCAUAAUUGUGUUGCAUUUUCAGUGGGUCAAUAGAGCACACAGAGAAAGAUAAUGGUAGAGAGAGCCAUUAAGAUGAAACAGUCGCUAUCACAGAGGCAGAACACAAACGGAAUAGCUUAUUUUUUUUAUAGCUUUCUUGGGACUGCUCAAAAGCCAGGGAAUUUUUUCAAAGAAGAGGAGUGCUGAAUGGUUUAUAGAGGUAACAGGUGAGCAAAUCAACUUUAAUUUUUAUUCUGACCUUAAAGCAGAG